CAGCCGCCGCGGUAAUACGUAGGGUGCGAGCGUUAAUCGGAAUUACUGGGCGUAAAGCGUGCGCAGGCGGCUUUGCAAGACAGAUGUGAAAUCCCCGGGCUCAACCUGGGAACUGCAUUUGUGACUGCAAGGCUAGAGUGCGGCAGAGGGAGAUGGAAUUCCGCGUGUAGCAGUGAAAUGCGUAGAUAUGCGGAGGAACACCGAUGGCGAAGGCAAUCUCCUGGGCCUGCACUGACGCUCAUGCACGAAAGCGUGGGGAGCAAACAGGAUUAGAUACCCCAGUAGUCCCUGUCUCUUAUAC
rnacentral:rRNA from 1 species